AGUGAACGUUGGCGGCGUGGAUUAGGCAUGCAAGUCGAGCGAGAACCGUAGCAAUACGGGGACAGCGGCGAAAGGGACAGUAACGUGUAGGUACCUACCUCCGGGUUCGGGAUAGCUGCGGGAAACUGCAGGUAAUACCGAAUAACGUCUCCGGACCAAAGGUGUGAUUCCACCUGGAGAGGGGCCUGCAUCCUAUUAGCUUGUUGGCGGGGUAACGGCCCACCAAGGCGACGAUGGGUAGCGGGUGUGAGAGCACGACCCGCGUCAUUGGGGCUGGGACACUGCCCAGACACCUACGGGUGGCUGCAGUCGUGAAUCUUCGGCAAUGGGCGCAAGCCUGACCGAGCGACGCCGCGUGCGGGAUGAAGGCCUUCGGGUUGUAAACCGCUGUCGUAGAGGAGGAAAUGCAGGGGGGUUCUCCCCUCUGUUUGACCUAUUCUAGGAGGAAGUACGGGCUAAGUUCGUGCCAGCCGCCGCGGUAA
rnacentral:rRNA from 1 species